rnacentral:rRNA from 1 species
UACGGGGGAUGCAAGCGUUAUCCGGAUUUAUUAGGUUUAAAGGGUGUGUAGGUGGUCUUGUAAGUCAGUGGUGAAAUCCCGAGGCUUAACUUCGGAACUGCCAUUGAUACUGCAGGACUUGAAUUUAGAUGAGGUAGGCGGAAUGUGUAAUGUAGCGGUGAAAUGCAUAGAUAUUACACAGAACACCAAUUGCGAAGGCAGCUUACUAAACUAAGAUUGACGCUGAGACACGAAAGCGUGGGGAGCGAACAGG